rnacentral:rRNA from 1 species
UACGUAGGGUGCAAGCGUUGUCCGGAAUUAUUGGGCGUAAAGAGCUCGUAGGCGGUCUGUCGCGUCGGCUGUGAAAACCCGAGGCUCAACCUCGGGCCGGCAGUCGAUACGGGCAAACUAGAGUACUGCAGGGGAGACUGGAAUUCCUGGUGUAGCGGUGAAACGCGCAGAUAUCAGGAGGAACACCGGUGGCGAAGGCGGGUCUCUGGGCAGUAACUGACGCUGAGGAGCGAAAGCGUGGGGAGCGAACAGG